UGGCUGAGAGGUUAAAGCAUCUGCCUGCAAUGCAGGAGACCAGGGUUCGAUCCCUG
rnacentral:tRNA from 1 species